AUUGAACGCUGGCGGCAGGCCUAGCACAUGCAAGUCGAACGGUAACAGGAAACAGCUUGCUGUUUCGCUGACGAGUGGCGGACGGGUGAGUAAUGUCUGGGAAACUGCCUGAUGGAGGGGGAUAACUACUGGAAACGGUAGCUAAUACCGCAUAACGUCGCAAGACCAAAGAGGGGGACCUUCGGGCCUCUUGCCAUCGGAUGUGCCCAGAUGGGAUUAGCUCGUAGGUGGGGUAACGGCUCACCUAGGCGACGAUCCCUAGCUGGACUGAGAGGAUGACCAGCCACACUGGGACUGAGACACGGUCAAGACUCCUACGGGAGGCAGCAGUGGGUAAUAUUGCACAAUGGGCGCAAGCCUGAUGCAGCCAUGUCGCGUGUAUGAAGAAGGCCUUCGGGUUGUAAAGUACUUUCAGCGGGGAGGAAGGGAGUACAGUUAAUACCUUUGCUCAUUGACGUUACCCGCAGAAGAAGCACCGGCUAACUCCGUGCCAGCAGCCGCCGUAA
rnacentral:rRNA from 1 species